AGACAAGCAUAUGACUACUGGCAGGAUCAACCAGGUAGCAAGUCCUCAGCACAACCACAGACUCACCCCGCCACAACCAUACAUAUCAUAUGGCAAGCGAGGAAAGAACCAAAGUCGCACAGAGGUUAAGGGCACUAUCACUUGGAAUAAUGACCUCGAACAUGGUGGCAUGGCAUANCANCAACACCAAAUUUCGAAGAGCAGCAUUUGCAACAGUAUAUUGAGACCUAAGUUCCACCACCCCACAAAACAAGAAAUAUCAUGCAACAUUGCUCGAAGGAGAAGGUGGAAGGGUCUCAUUUCAUAGGGCGGUCUCCAUGCCUUGGACACAGGCAUAGAGGCUUUUCCACGAAGCAUCCACAUAUAUUAGUACCACCCGCAUAAGGAUUCGGAAUGCAAGCAACUAUUUUAUAACCAAUAUCAAUCUCCAAAAUUAUUUGGAGUUAUUAAGUGAAAAGACUGCCAUAAUAAUAGUUGGCCUCACAAAAGAAGCCACCAACCAAUACNAGCANGGUCCGCAACAACUCAUAUGA
rnacentral:misc_RNA from 1 species